CAGUAGCCGCGGGAAUACGAAGGGGGCUAGCGUUGUUCGGAAUUACUGGGCGUAAAGCGCACGUAGGCGGAUAUUUAAGUCAGGGGUGAAAUCCCAGAGCUCAACUCUGGAACUGCCUUUGAUACUGGGUAUCUUGAGUAUGGAAGAGGUGAGUGGAAUUCCGAGUGUAGAGGUGAAAUUCGUAGAUAUUCGGAGGAACACCAGUGGCGAAGGCGGCUCACUGGUCCAUUACUGACGCUGAGGGGCGAAAGCGUGGGGAGCAAACAGGAUUAGAGACCCCCGUAGUCCCUGUCUCUUAUAC
rnacentral:rRNA from 1 species